rnacentral:lncRNA from 1 species
AACUAUUUAAAGGGUUGGGUUUUGGUUCGGGUGGGUUAGCUAAUGGUGUAGGUGGUUUAGGUGGUGGUCUGAGUGCGUUGAUGUAAUCAUUAUCGAUUGAGGGUAACCGCACUCGGUAUGUCAGAGGUGCCCGUCGAUCGAUGGGAGGUGUGUUGUGACGAUCGACGUUGGACUCACUCUGUCGAUCGAUGGUUGGCUCAACC